GAGACAAGCAUAUGACUACUGGCAGGAUCAACCAGGUAGCAUUCCUCCAGGACGCCGCGCCCCGCCCCCGCGCCGCCGGGGCGGUCCUCAGGGGCGUGCGCGACCGUCGUGCGUUUUAUAUCGAAGCUCCUCUUAGGACCGGGGCACGGGUCCCCGUCCGCGGCGUGCGCUGGGUCCAAGAGCACUGCGCUCCCCCGUGGGCCACGCGACCGAAGAAGGCCCGGUGGAACACGGGGGGCGCUUCGCUGUCCUCCCGCGCCCGUUAGAAGGCGCCGGACGGAGGCUGGGUGCCAGUGGCCUUUGCUUCCCUCGGGGGGUAGGCGGCACAAGAACCAGCCUCUGAGGCACCAUCCCACCCCACGUCAACCGACGCUGAUCGCCCGCCGACCGUUCCAUGGACGAGCACGGAGCCAGCCGGCAGAGAAAAUCCAAACCACCCCCCC
rnacentral:misc_RNA from 1 species